UACGGAGGGUGCGAGCGUUGUUCGGAAUCACUGGGCGUAAAGGGCGUGUAGGCGGUCCGCUAAGUCUGAUGUGAAAGCCCGGGGCUCACCCCCGGAAGUGCAUUGGAAACUGGCGAACUCGAGUCCCGGAGAGGAGAGUGGAAUUCCUGGUGUAGCGGUGAAACGCGUAGAUAUCAGGAGGAACACCGGUGGCGAAGGCGGCUCUCUGGACGGUGACUGACGCUGAGACGCGAAAGCGUGGGGAGCAAACAGG
rnacentral:rRNA from 1 species